UAGAACCGGAUCACUGGAAGACCCGGGUCCAGUGUGAACAGUGACAACCUGCAAAUAACCAGAGUCCAUCACCCAUGUGUGAAAGGGAAUAGGACCAUCAAGCACACUACAACCUUCUAUGUCAGGCUGCACAGUAUGGACUGACCAGUGUGGAGAGACUAGAGGAAUAUUUCCUGGACUGCUUGUGAAGCCUACAGUCCACCUACAGCAGCUGAUCCUGCAUUAUUCAAGAAAUGUGCUUGAAGGUCGAAUAGUUAACACAAGCUGCCAUAUGAAAUCCAUAUCGCCAGAGUCUUCACGUAGAUAACAAAUGCACCUAGCAAAAGCCUUUCAUACAUUUAACAGGUUUUGUUAUAGCGUAUACCAUAUGCUGCAGCAGUUUACACCAGCCUUCCAGUGAUCUAGGCAAUACAGAUCUCGUGUUUGGGGAUCUGGUGAAUCCUUGGAUUCCGAGAGAGCAAACAGACGUACCAGCAAGAUAAAGAACAACAUGCCAUACUCCACACCACAUGAAAAAUGAUUACUAGAAGUACGGAAGGCAUGAAGAACUGUAAGUACCUGGACUAUAGAAGCGUGUUGGGUGAUGAUAGAGAGACAAGAUGACACCAAUCAUUGUACGGAAAGAAGAAAACAUCUGAAGCGAGAACAUUACCAAGCCAGGUUACAUGACUGUUAUAUCUGGUUAUUGCCUGGGGCACUACACUGCCAAUAAGAGACUUCCUGUGAGAGUGGAAAAUAAAUAAAUAGUGGCUGGAGACACAACAA